CAACGCCGCGUGAGUGAUGAAGGUUUUCGGAUCGUAAAGCUCUGUUGUUAGGGAAGAACAAGUACCGUUCGAAUAGGGCGGUACCUUGACGGUACCUAACCAGAAAGCCACGGCUAACUACGUGCCAGCAGCCGCGGUAAUACGUAGGUGGCAAGCGUUGUCCGGAAUUAUUGGGCGUAAAGGGCUCGCAGGCGGUUUCUUAAGUCUGAUGUGAAAGCCCCCGGCUCAACCGGGGAGGGUCAUUGGAAACUGGGGAACUUGAGUGCAGAAGAGGAGAGUGGAAUUCCACGUGUAGCGGUGAAAUGCGUAGAGAUGUGGAGGAACACCAGUGGCGAAGGCGACUCUCUGGUCUGUAACUGACGCUGAGGAGCGAAAGCGUGGGGAGCGAACAGGAUUAGAUACCCUGGUAGUCCACGCCGUAAACGAUGAGUGCUAAGUGUUAGGGGGUUUCCGCCCCUUAGUGCUGCAGCUAACGCAUUAAGCACUCCGCCUGGGGAGUACGGUCGCAAGACUGAAACUCAAAGGAAUUGACGGGGGCCCGCACAAGCGGUGGAGCAUGUGGUUUAAUUCGAAGCAACGCGAAGAACCUU
rnacentral:rRNA from 1 species